rnacentral:misc_RNA from 1 species
AUAGGCUGGUGGAAAGGCCAGGCGCAUUGACCUGGACAUUGAGUCUCCGAGUUUCCAACCCAGAUGUAGGUACCCCGAGCCGGCCCGCGAGAAGACCCGUGAGUGCCGCACCUGCUCAUGCAAAAUCCAUCAACAGCGACGUCCUUCGCCGUCAAAACAACGUUAAUGGAAUCGAUCGCGAAGUUUGUUUUCGAGGCCAAAGCAAGUAAAUGCGUAGUCUUAAGGACUUUUCCAAGAGUGUACUCUUCGUGUAGGAUUUGACGACCGACUCUAAGAGAGCAAGAACCACCACGGUACUUCUCGGUGGUCUUCCACCAAAAGGCGGCGGAGGGAAGUGGCGCUCUGUUGGAGUUCAAAGAGGUGAUGAAAUCAACGAUUAUGGAGCGUUGAAUAGGAGUAAACUUUCCGUACCAGACUAAAUUAACGGUGACGUUUCCCUUUAAGAGAACACCGUUGUGGUACUUGAGCACCAGGGGUUGCUCUUGAACUAAAGCAGCGAGCAGAGGGUGGAUAAAACAGAAGAGAAGAAUGGCAGAAUGGUAAAUAGAAGCCAUGGAUAAGAGCAGUCAGAGGAAGAAGUGAAAGAGAG